UACGUAGGUGGCAAGCGUUGUCCGGAAUUAUUGGGCGUAAAGCGCGCGCAGGCGGCCUCUUAAGUCUGAUGUGAAAGCCCCCGGCUCAACCGGGGAGGGCCAUUGGAAACUGGGAGGCUUGAGUAUAGGAGAGAAGAGUGGAAUUCCACGUGUAGCGGUGAAAUGACGUAGAGAUGUGGAGGAACACCAGUAGGCGAAGGCGACUCUUUGGCCUAUAACUGACGCUGAGGCGCGAAAGCGUGGGGAGCAAACAGG
rnacentral:rRNA from 1 species